GGAAUUCCCGCGUCUAGUGAACUUGUUUGUGGUGGUUUCUAGUUUAUCUGUGGAGGAUUCCGUCUCCGUUGUGUCUGGUGGCGCGGUAGCUUUUGUGCGCCGAAGGAAAUUGCGCCUUGCAGCCUGUGGGAAAAAUAAACGAUGAUCAUAGAAGGCGGAUGAAGAGAAGUUAUAAACCAGAGUCAUCUGGCUGAAGAACAAAGAUAUCAAUGACGGGAGCCUUCUGAAAGCUUCCUCAGGAUUCGGGGUAGAGUUAAGAAGUUACUGAUGAGAGAUAUUGUAAAAUAAAACAAGUCAAUUUGCGUGUUUCCUUGAUUGACCCCUACCCUAUAUAUCUACUCAUUCACAUCAUAUAUUUUAUAUUGCCAACCUUUUCAGAGCUUUAACAGAGAAUUAAAUAACAUUAACAGAUUUUCACCCAUACAUGGAACAGGCCUUUUAUAAAGGUAGUUUCAUAUAAAAGAUAACCAGUACAUAAACUUAAUCGAAGUCUGUAAUAUGUACUUUUACACAUAACAGAAUAAACUUUCAUUUUGAGAACAGGAAAUAAUAAGAAUUUUAUGCUUUUAUCAAGAACCGGCUGGGCAAGCUAAAUUUCUUCACGACUAGCUAGUUCAGGUGGAGUACUGUUCUCCUAAACAGGCUAUAGAAACCUAUUAAAUGCUAGAAAUGAAUGUCAGUGGAAUAUUGAAAGCUUUAAAAAAAAUUGUUCUUGAUAAUUUCAGCUAUAAGUAGCUUUCUACUGCUGAAAAUCUUCCUCAAUUAGUUUUUUGAUAAGUAGUAUAAUCUUAUAAAAGGUUAUAGCAUGACAGGGCCUUUGAUUAUAUUAUCUAAGUAAGACCAAUCAUCUGCUUAAAGUACUACACAAUUAUUAAAAUAUCAAUUUAACUACGAAAACUUCGCUGUGCAAGCCACAAAAGGGAAAAUAGCUUAAUACAAACAAACUACAAGCCACUUGAUAUUCACAGCGUCUGCUAAACCGGCCCACAAGUGGGUCGCGGAUGAUACAACUCUAGUCAUUUAUUAGCUAAGCUUAGCUUCGUUACUUCAUAUAAAUAACUGUGAGGUUUUAAGACACUGAAUUGCUUGUAGGUUUUUGUAAGAUUGCCUUACAAAAACCUAAUUCACUUCACUAAACAUUCACUUUACAAUCUGGACAUUCAUUUUCAUUAUUUCUGAAACAUCAAAUACAGAUAGAUAGGAUAACUAAGACCUCACUUUUUUCCUGCAAGCAAUUAUAAGAAGGAAAAGUUCUGGGUUUCUGAAAGUAGGUACUUGCAUGGAGGCUACAAAUUGGCUUGUUCUACAUACAUUAUUAUUACUCGAGUAGAUAACUGAACAAAAACGUCACAAAUAAAGGUAGGUACAUAAAAAACUACAAAUUACUGUUUAUACAUCUGACUGAAUAAAGCUGUCCUGCAGUCGAACCUACUUUUUGCUAAGCUCUAUACCGCAGGCUCUAGUACAAAUGAAAUCUCUAUGAUUACAUUACUGUAGACAAUAUAACUACAUACACAUUAUAAAGUAAACAAGCAAGUUUAUAUACCAGUCUCACGAGGAGUAUCCAGUAUCGUAAGAUGCGCAAGAGUCACGACUGUUGGUUGUUUAUUGAAGUAAGUAUGGACUGCAAUUUAUAGCCACCGAUUUGAAGAUAGCUUUGAAUAUUGUGGUAGGUCUGUUGCACAAUUUGGAUAUAGAAAUUAAAAUAUUUUUUUUAAUAUCUUUUCACGAUAAAAGUGGUUGUGAUUUUGACUAUUUUAAACUAAUUAACUAUUGAAACUGACUUGAUAAAAAUGUUUACUAACAGUUUAAGAUAAUACAGUCAAAGAACUAUGAUAAGAAAAUGUAUGCCUAGGUACUAUUUAAAAAGAUCUGUAGUAACUUUGACAACUUUCAGUUAUUUUGGCACCGAAAAGUGAUUUUGGUGGUCGUAAGUUUUAGAAGGGUCAUGUAACACAUUUUUAUUUAGAAACACUUAAUAACUUCAAAUUAAAACUUAAAUAAAUAUAGCACCUGUCACAGCUUUAGCGUGUUGCAAAUUUUAUUUAACUGCAAAAGCACUCUCAAUACAGUAUUUCUGUAUUAGGCUAACCAAUAUACCAAUACCAAGUUGAGAGCCUAAUCAGCUAACUCAAACAUGUCACUUUAUCAAUGAACAUAUACUUAUGUUGACAUACACCCUAGGUAGGGCUGCCAUCCGUCCGGGUUUCCCCGGAUUUGUCCUCGUUUGGAGGCCGUCCGGGCGGGGUUUCAAGGAUUGUCCGGGGAAAACCCGGACACUUUUCAUGUAAGGAAGCACCUCAUUGAAUUUAAGUAUAUGUUAAUAGUAAAUGGAUUAUAAAUUAGGUAUUAUUUUGUUUAAAAAAAUCGUACUCGUUUGGUGAAAAAUGCGAUUUACGCCAAAUGUCCGGGUUUUUUUUAAUGUCUGUCCGGGUUUGGCGAAAUUCGAGAUGGCAGCCCUAACCUUAGGUUACCUAGGCAACAUUGCCUAGGCUACGUUGCCUACGCUAGGCUGCCUAGCAUUAGGUAUCAUUUAGCUGUGAGGUAAAGCGGAAAGUGAAGGGCACCCUAGGCCGACAAUCUCAUGUGUGUUUAAAAUUCUAAUGCAAUGCAGGUCAUUGCUAUAACACUAUAUUUUUUAAGAUUAAGUAGGCUUUAGCUAAUAUGUUAGAGCCUACAUGUAUUAAGGACCUAUUUCGUUUUUUUUAAUUAAUUAGAACUUGGAGAACUAAUGGCUGAUUUUACGAAAAGGUUUCUUGUU